GAUGAAGAACGUAGCGAAAUGCGAUAAGUAAUGUGAAUUGCAGAAUUCAGUGAAUCAUCGAAUCUUUGAACGCACAUUGCGCCCGCCAGUAUUCUGGCGGGCAUGCCUGUUCGAGCGUCAUUUCAACCAUCAAGCCCCAGGCUUGUGUUGGGGACCUGCGGCUGCCGCAGGCCCUGAAAACCAGUGGCGGGCUCGCUGUCACACCGGGCGUAGUAGAUUUUAUCUCGCUCAGGGCGUGCUGCGGGUCCCGGCCGUUAAAAGCCUUUUUUUACCCAAGGUUGACCUCGGAUCAGGUAGGAAGACCCGCUGAGCUUAAGCAUAUCAAUAAGCGGAGGA
rnacentral:misc_RNA from 1 species